GUAAUCUUAUUGUAUGCAAGCAUAAAGCUCAGAUUGUGAGUAUGCAUCUCGUUGAUUUCGUAUGUGACAUUACAUGAGUGUGCAAAAUUAAAGUUUGAUGGGAAGCUGGUCGGUUGUUUGUAUGUAAUACUAAUAUUAGAUCACCAUGUGGAAUUAGUUAACCUAGUGUACAAAUAUAUAUAGCCGUGGUCGUUUUUAUGGUGAGACUGCUGGCCACUAUGCAUAAGCUGGCUGGUUGCUCGUACAUUAUGUUAGACCGUAAACAUAAUUGAAGGAUGACGAUGCUGUUUGUAGUAAGCAGGCAGGACCAUUCCAUUAUAUCAGAUCACCACGUAGAACUAAAGUUCAGAUAUGGAGUUGGAAGGCCAUUCAUCUCUAUCAAGACAAUAUGUUGUUAAUAUGUUACAUUAGAGUCUUUUAGUUUUGCUUUUACCUAUAUCCUUUCAGAUCAUGAUUGAUUAAUUGUAUGUGCAUGACAUAGUUAUUAUUAUACAAAUAGAUAAAUAGAUAACCGGGUCAGCUACACACUUCAGUAAGCAUUAAGAUGUACUAUGUCACAAAUACUAACCCUGCUAUGGGAGAUCCAUCUGGUUGCGAGUGUUCAAAUAACGCUGCUCAUUUACACAUGUGUAUGCGUUCCAACAGAAGUUUAGUUAGUUUUGUGAUUUAUCUUCCUUCUCUGUUAGUCAUUAGUUGUGUGUUAAGAGGCAUGCACACUCACGCUCAGGGGGGUACUUGUGUGUGGUGGUUUGUAUGCGUGAACGACUCGCCCUCUUGCAAUCAGAUAGGAAACGGGUAAUAACCUUGCUAUGAAUUGGGUAAGGGGUACACAAGCGUAAAUAGGAUUUGGUAUCUCUUUUUGGUACGUUAUGUUGUGAUAAAAUAAUUUGUUCAUUCUUGAUUCUAUGGGGAAAAUAUACUAUGUACCAACAGAAUUAACGUACAGCAUACACAACUAGUAGAUACAUCUGCUUGGUUUUUGUGCAGGCUCAAUUGGAGGGGGCAAUUUCAUGGAGAUAAUAAUUAAAUUUCUACUAAAAAAUAUUCCCUCCGAUCCAUAUUAAUUGUCUCAAAUUUGCCCAAAUAUGUAUGUAUCUAUGCCUAAAAAGCGUCUAGAUACAUGUAACAUUUCGACAAUUAAUAUGGAUCGGAGGGAGUACCACUCUAGAAAUUGCAAUUAAUAAUAGACUACCCAAAAAUUAUAUUUACGGAUAGAAUUACUUACAGAUUUAGUACAUACUACCUGUUUGCUUUAUUUUCUGGCAAAAAGCUGCAUGUUUGUUUUCGUGUGCUUGUGAUCUUCCGAAGAUCUUUUUUUUUCCUUUUCCAUGCGUAUGCAUGUGCAUGUGAAUUCUUGAUCUGAUUUAUUCAUCAUCCAUGCAUGCAUGUAUUAUUUAGAGGGAGAGAGGCGUCGGAGAGGAGUACGUGUCUCGGUUGCUGGCUAUUGCACAGCUAGUGCUGGAAAAGCUGUUCUCAAAUCUAUUCCAAAUAAGCUGCCUCGAGUUUCCGAUUUGUGAACCAAAGAAUGACAGAGAAAUCUGGAUGGUGUACUCACAUAUUCAUUAUGAAGAUUCAUGCUGGUGGUGAUCCAUUAAUAAUAGAGGUCAGUCAGAUCAAUGACUGGAUGGUUGUUAAGUAUGGUUAUGAAGAUCUAGGGGGACAAGGGGUUAUGAACUUAUGAUUCAUUGAUAAUAAAAGGCCCAACAAAUCAACGGCAGAUGAUUUGCUUUUUUGUGGGAUUUUCUAGCAUGCCUAUCUUUCUUUGGUUAACCUGUCACGUAGUUUUAGUAUAUAAUAGAUUUGUUGAAACUGCACUCUUUGGGGUCCCUUAUGAGUUGUAUUUUGACUGCAAACAUUUAGGAAGUUCUAUGAUCGAGGAAACCACAAAAGAGAAUAACCAUGAUACCCUUUUAUGAAGUGACCUGGAAAGAUAAGAAAUGAUCUCUGUGUAGGUAAUAGUCAUACAUGCAUGCAAAGAUGGACUAACAUUAAAUUUACAUGCAUACUUCUUAUUUUGGGGUAAACUGACAAUUAUUGGGUCUUUUAGAAAAACAGAGGGUGUACUAAUUCUCCUCAAACUUGGCCUAGGGUUGUGAAAAUGAAGCUUUAAUAUUUGCCCGAAUCGGACAUUUAAGCCUAUCAUGGAGCGGGAUAAAUCAAUUUGACUCAUAUCGUAUUAACGUCCUGAUGUGUUAGCUGCUUUUAUAUCCACCUCAGGUAUAGGAAGAAUAUAUACUUGUGUUUCCAUUGGCAAUUUGGCAUCAUCUAUAAUGUUUAUUUAGCAUGAUUCACAAUUGGUCUUUGUUUCUCUUAGCUUUUACGUAUAUCCUUUCUUCGUAUUACUCACAUGGCCUUUUAGUUUUGCUUAGUGAAUAGUGAAUCAUUAUUGGAAGAUAUGUAAAUUUACAUGAUAGAUCGUUUCAUAUUUGUUGAGCUUAUGUUUAUAUCGUGUGUGUUAUUCAUGUGAUGCUUCUGACAGCAUGGAAACUUUUAGCUAUAUAUUGUAAGCUACUCUUGGAUAGAGGUUCCCUUGGAUUAUUAAUGGAAAUUUGGAACAAUUUUAUCUUUCUAGAAAGUUGCCCAGGACAUAUAAAAAACAACUUAAUCUUGGGUACAAUAGUACUUAUUGAAUAUUUCUUAUCUUAAGUUCUUAACUCAGAUGGAAAAGUGAUGCUAAGCCUGCUCUCUGUCUUGUGUUAAUGUUCAGCUCCAUUGCAUGGAUUUGCAUUUUGGUUUGAUGUCGAGUUUAACGGGCCAGUUCGCCAAAAAACUAAGAAGCAAGCAAGCCAACCCUCGGAUGGGAACAUGCAAAAUGCCAGCCCAAGCAGUAAAAAGAAAAAACCAGAUGUCUCGAUUGUUCUGUCAACUGCCCCAGAGGAUGCACCUACUCACUGGCAGCAGGUGAUUGCUUUAAACAUCGCCUCAUUGGUCCCCGUUUCUUUUCUGCCCAUAUGGUUAGUUUGAAAUUCCUUCAAAAUUGCAUUUUGCUGAUACCCACAAGAAUAUUGUCUUUUUUAUGCAGACACUAUUGUAUUUGUUUGAACCUAUCGGGCUAAAGAAGGACCAGAUAAUUGAAGGUUCUGUUACCAUAUCUCAGAGCCAGCAACAUUCUCGUUUCCUCAACAUCUCUCUGAAAUAUUUGUGAGUCUGUUUCCUCUGGUGCUAUCCAGUUUUCGCAUUUCUUACUGCCGCCUUCAAGUUUGAUAUCUCUGAAUCCCUCAUGCCUUUGCAGUACUGGAGAUCAAUGGUAUGUUAAAGAAUCUGUGAUGCGAUAACAUGGGUAACUUGAACAGAGUAAUGCUUUCUGGAUAGGUGGAAAUGCAUCAUGAACCUCAUUGAUUAUUGCAAUUUUGGAGCAUUCUGACUGGAGCAGGAUAUCAUGAUGGCAAAUAGAUCAACAUGUGCUAUCAUUUUGUAUGCUGGAAAUUUUGUUGGAAACAGAUCAAUCCUCCAGCAUUCCAACAAUAUUCCUUUACUCCAAAGCAGGUCUUAGAUUUUCAUUAUCUGCAGUACGACUUGAAUAGGUCUGUAGCCUAAUGAUUAGUGUAUCCACAAUUGAUGAAGAAUGGAUUGGGGGAACUUUGAUAAUUACAAGUAUCAUCUUAACUCAUCCAUCAGCCGCUUCUUUUACACUAGAGAGCUAUGUAGGUUAUUUCCAUUGUUUUUAAGAACUACCUGCCAGUACAAAAUCCAUCCGGCCCUUGAGAAGUUGUAAUAAUAGUGUGUAUGCUAAAUCAUCAUUUCUGACAGUAUCAGAAAAUUAUCAAAGAAAAAUCAAGUUAUAUAAACUUGACUUCAAAAUCGUUCCUCAACUAUUGCAUGUUACUCAUUUCUGUCUAUAAAGUACCAAAUUGGUGGAGCUCAUGCCUGACUUUAUUUGGCUCAUAUUUCUGCUUCUCCCCAAGUUGUGGUAUUCGUUGCAUACCAAGGAGGAGUUGAGGAAACCACAGUGAAAGGUGUUACAACCUUUAGUGUGAUGUUACGCCUUUCCAAUUUUGUUCUAGAUUGGAUCAUAGAAGCCCUACCCUGAGCCAUUUGUUGGCUCAUGUGAAGCACGUAUGAGUCCUGUCCUUCCGUGGGAGUGCAGGGGCGUGCUUCUGGUUCAAGAUGGCAUAGAGGACAUCGACGUCCCGUGUGAGACGCAGUUACCGCUGGUCGAGUCUAUGGCCGUCGUGGGCAGCUCCGGCAGCAAGGAGGACGCGACAGAGGUUGUCUUCUUCCCGUUCGUGGAGGGAGGGCGCGUUCCGGGCCAGCCACCAUGGUGGCAUGGCCGCAUGGGCGACAAUUAAGCUCGAGAUCUGCACUGAGACUUGAGAGCUGCGAUGCUGUCAUGAGGUUCAUGUCGUUCUGAGUGCAAAAUUAGAGAUUAACAUUGAUUUCGCGGCGAGACUUCCUUGCCACUAUUGCGCCACUAUAGCGGUCAAAUCACGCGCUAUUUAUUUCUAUGAGUAAAUACGGUGACGGUUGAAGAUUCAAUAUAUAUCACACAAAAAGCGCUAUUUAUUUCUAUGAGUAAAUACGGUGACGGUUGAAGAUUCAAUAUAUAUCUUGGUGAUAUAUAGACGUGCCAUGUGGGCCUGACCAGUUGGUAAAUAUGGAAUCUCACUAAAGGGGAUAAUGUUUUUGAAGUUUUUACAAAUAAAAUAUAAAAAAUGUAAUUCACUCAAAACAAAAAUAAAGAGAUUUCACAAAAGAAAGAAAGAAAAAUUAUCCAAAGUUAUAUCGCUCAAGCAAAAAAGCUCGGUAACGACUAUCAGUACACAUCACUUCGUCAGCGGAGGGCAGCCGCUUCUUCGCAUGCAUUAAGCUCCUCAUGAUUCAGAGCUGAUUAAGAAAGAAAAUUCCUCACGUAUAUCAGUACAUGAACACCAGGGCAACUCCAAAUCAUGAACACCACAGCCGGACCAGCAAGAAAAGUAGGCAACGGCCAGAGGCUCUAUGAACCGCGUGAAUUGCUUGCCGGCUGCGUCUUAUAUCACCGGCCAGGCCGUAUGACGGUGUGAGACGUCUCCGAGUCCGAUCGGGAGUCGGGACACAACGCGGCAGGUAGUCUCGAUAUAUACGCAAAGCAUAUCACCCGGGCUCCUCCCAUCCCUCCCAUCUCUCGAUCGAUCGUCGCCAACAAACAACAAUGUCGGCGGGAUCGCAGGAGCACGAGUCGGCUUGCGUGACCCACGCGGUCUCCUGGAUGACGCUGUGCGAGACCAGGGAGGCCCCGCUAGCGCCGUGGGAACCCGAUGUCCUCGCGGUGAGAAUCCGGUGCUCCGCGAACAUCCGCUGCGUGUCCCGCUUCCCCGGAGGAAGCUUCCUGCGAGCCGCCGUUACCCACAAGGAGGUCCUCGUGGACCUGUUCGAUCCCGAGGACCUCCGGAGCGAGUCCGCCUGCCGCACCGCCGUCCGCCGGGUGCUGAGGACGCUGCUGGAACGCGCGGAGUACUAUGGCUACCGCGCCGCCGACGGCGGGGACGCCUUGGUGCCGCCCGGCCUCGUUGACACAAUCCUCGCUGUCGCCGCUGCUGUUGCUGACACCCGCGACGGCGCCGAUCUCCGGAACAUCAGCUACCGCUGCGACGUCUCGAUGGAAGUGGACAUGAAGAACGUGUACAGCGAGGCGAAGGCCAUCGUGCUGUUGUGCAGCGGCGCCGCAGGGCCAAGACGACGUGAUGUCGGCGGGGAGCUGUGCCCGAUCUGCAUGGAGAAACUGGCGCCGGACGAUGCCAUGAGUUUGCCUGGAUGUUCGCACGUGUUCCACAGAGGGUGCAUCCUCGAGUGGUUACACAGGGCACCCACCUGCCUGUCCUGCCGCCAUGACAUGACGCAGCAUCUCCCUCACCAAUGUCGUGCAUGCGAUAAGUGGGAGCCUUGGGUCGACUCCCUAGGGGCAGCCGUAUAGGAUUUGUUUCCCACUGGUGGUACACACUUUUUGCAUGUCUCUGUACCUAUUGCGAUUAAACAAAGAGUAUAAUUACUAGUAGCAGAUUCUUUUGCUAUCCAUAGCUAUGCUUGAUUGGAUUAAGGAGGUUAAUUUCGCGUUAGGUAUAGCUCAAUCCCGAUUUAGUUAAGUUGUUUCAUAACUACAAAUAAAUUGCAGUAACAAGUGAGUACUAGGAUGUGUUGACUUGUGACCUUUUUUGUGACCGCGACGGAAAUGGCCAUAAAUAUCUAUGACAAUUUAAAACCAAAUGGUCAUACCUACGGUACAAAAUCCAUCCGGCCCUCGAGAAGUUGUAAUAAUAGUGUGUAUGCUAGAUCAUCAUUUCUGACAGUAUCAGAAAAUUAUCAAAGAAAAAUCAAGUUAUAUAAACUUGACUUCAAAACCGUUCCUCCACUAUUGCAUGUUACUCAUUUUUGUCCAUAAACUACCAAAUUGGCGGAGCUCAUGCCUGACUUUAUGUGGCUCAUAUUUCUGCUUUUCCCAAAGUUCUGGUAUUCGUGGCAUACCAAGGAGGAGUUGAGGAAACCACAGUCAAAAGGUGUUACAAUCAUAGUGUGAUGUUACGCCUUUCCAAUUUUGUUCUCGAUUGGAUCAUAGAGCCCCAAAUUGAUUGGGUGCACGUGCGCAAAGAACACGUGAGCCCGGAGCGCCACCGACUUAAUUGGGGGCCGGCCGGCUGCGCGGGCGCGUCGUUGGCAUUCCUCCAUUGGAGGCUGAGUCCCAGCUUGAUCAAUAUCUCCUCCAUUGGGGACGGUGGGCUCAUCGCGUACCCGCGCGGCUGGCCUCAAGUGUGGGAUGAACCAGCUGAAGUGCUGAACGCGCAGCCUCGCCGUCGAGUGGGCGUGGCACGCGCACGAAUUUAAAAAGAAGAGGAAAUAACCCUUUGCCGGCGGCCCCGAGAAAAGGUUGCCGGCAAAGGCCAUUUUUUUUUCCCAAAUUCCCCCGUUCGAAUCGAACCCGAAAAAAAAAUAACCCUUUGCUGGCGGCCCCUUCGGCAAAGGCCAUUUUUUUUCCCAAAUGUCCCCUGUUCGAAUUGAACCGAAGGAAAAAAAAUGAAAUUAACCCUUUAAAUAGCCGCUAGCAAAGGUGGCUUUGCCGGGACGCCCACAUAAUAGCCGCCGGCAAAAGCCUUUUUUUCCCCCUUUUUUGUUUGUUUGUGAUGUAAAUCAACCAUAUUGUAAACACAUAGAGUAAUAUAUAUUAUUGUUUAGAUUGAACCCGAUUUGCACUUAUAAAAUAAAUAAAACUAAUUACUCAUUGCCAGCGGCCGUGAGUUAAUUGGUUACGAUCAGUUCAUCGACGCAUGAAAUAACGAAACAUUAAAUGGUUUCUCGGCUUUCCCCUUGUGCAUGAUGUGCCAUGUAUAUGUAAAUGAAGGGUGUGUUAAUGGUAAAAUCAAAUCGAUAGCCCUGAUGUGACACUUCUUUGCAAACAAUACUAGCGAAUGGGCAUGAAUGUUCCACACUUGAGGGCAAAAGUCUCAAUUCAGACCGACGGGACAUAAUUUAGUCAGUCCAUGGGGUAGAUGUUUGCUUUUUCAUGUUGACAUGUCGUAAUACAACACUAUGAUAUAGUAAAGUGACAUGGAAACCCAAGUUUUGGUGAAAAACUAGUAACAAAACACUAACGAACAUUCAACCCCAAGCCCGAGAGUGAGGAAAACACGUAAUUCAGACCGAGGGAGAAGAAUUCUGUGAGGGCUUGGGGUAGAUUUGUUGUUUUACAUGUGCCCAUGUGGCAAUAGAACACUACGUAAUAGCAAAACAUCAGGAAAACCAAUGUUUUGGUGAAAAGCUACCCCGUAGACGCCACGAGGCCCGCAGGAGGGGCGAUGCCUCAAAUCACAUGACGGAUGGUAUAGAGAACUUGAAAUCUUGGAUGAUGUCAUCAAAUGGGUACAUAGAGAUGGUGUUAAGAGGAAAACACAAUCCAAGCAUCUGAGGUUGCACUUCCUUCACAAACUAGACUAACCCGCACGAAUGUUCCGGACUUAGGGGGGAAAAGUCACAAUUGGACGGACGGAGCAGAAUCCUUUGAUGACUUGGGUAGCUUUUUGGUUUUUCAUGUCCCCAUGUGCUAGUACAACACAAACGUAGAGUAAAGUGACUUGAGAACACAAGUUUUGGUGAAAAGCUACCCAUAGACGCCACGAGGCCCACAGGAGGGGGCGAUGCCUCAAAUCACACGACGGAUGGUCUAGAGAACUUGGAAUCUUUGAUGGUGUCAUCAAAUGUGUACAUAAAGAUGGUGUUAAGAGGAAAACACAAUCCAAGUAUCUGAUGUUGCACUUCCUUCACAAACUAGACGAACCCGCAUGGAAGUUUCAGACUUAGGGGGGAAAGUCGCAAUUCGGACGGACGGAGUAGAAUUCUUUGGGGACUUGGGUAGCUUUUUGUUUUUUCAUGUCACUAUGUGGUAGUAGAACACAAUGGUAGAGUAAAGUGACUUGAGAACACAAGUUUUGGUGAAAAGCUACCCCGUAGACGCCACGAGGCCCGCAGGAGAGGGCGAUGCAUGCCUGAAAUCACACGACGAAUGGUACAGGGAACUUGAAAUCUUGGAUGAUGUCAUAAAAUGGGUACAUAAAGAUGGUGUUAAGUGGAAAACACAAUCCAAGUAUCUGAUGUUGCACUUCCUUCACAAACUAGACGAACCCACACGAACGUUCUCGAAUUAGAGGGGGAAAAGUCGCAAUUCGGACGGAGCCAGCCGAAUCUGUUGAGGACUUGGGUAGAUGUUUGCUUUUUCAAGUUGACAUGUCCUAAUAAAACACUAUGAUAUAGUAAAGUGACAUGGAAACCCAAGUUUUGAUGAAAAGCUAGUAACAAAACACUAAGGAACAUUCAAACCCAAGCCCUAGAGUGAGGAAAACACGCAUUUCGGACCGAGGGAGAAGAAUUCUGUGAGUGCUUGGGGUAGAUUUUUGUUUUACAUGUGCCCAUGUGGCAAUAGAAUACUAAGUAAUAGAAAAACAUCAGGAAAACAAAUGUUUUGGUGAAAAGCUACCCCGUAGACGCCAGGAGGCCCGCAGGAGGGGGCGAUGCCUCAAAUCACACGACGGAUGGCCUAGAGAACUUGAAAUCUUGGAUGAUGUCAUAAAAUGGGUACAUAGAGAUGGUGUUAAGAGAAAAACACAAUCCAAGAAUCUGAGGUUGCACUUCCUUCACAAACUAGACUAACCUGCACGAACGUUCCGGACUUAGGGGGGAAAAGUCGCAAUUCAGAAGGACGGAGCAUAAUUCUUUGAGGACUUGGGUAGCUUUUUGGUUUUUCAUGUCCCCAUGUGCUAGUACAACACAAAGGUAUAGAGUAAAGUGACUUGAGAACACAAGUUUUGGUGAAAAGCUAGCCCGGAGAAAACCGAAGGCCCGCAGGAGAGGGCGAUGCCUGAAAUGACACGACGAAUGAUCCAGAGAACUUGAAAUCUUGGAUGAUGUCAUCAAAUGGGUUCCUAAAGAUGGUGUUAAGAGGAAAACACAAUCCAAGUAUCUGAGGUUGCACUUCGUUCACAAACUAGACUAACCCGCACGGAAGUUCCGAACUUAGGGGGAAAAUUUCGCAAUUCGGACGGACGGAGCAGAAUUCUUUAUGAAAUUGGGUAGAUUUUUGUUUUUCAUGUUCAAAUGUCCUAAUAGAACAAAAAGGAAGUCUAAACUGACAGGAAAACCCCAAUGUUUUGUGAAUAAAUAAAGUAAAAAUUGGAAAAAAAAGUGAACCGAGCCUAGCUUAGGUGGUCUGGUUCCUUGUGGUGGAACCAGCUCACCCAGGUUCAAGUCCUAAACUUGACAUGUGUGUCACAUUUUCCUGGAUUAUUCCAGGAUUUAACCGGCGCUAUUCUUUCAGUGGUGGAUGACGUACCAGGUCCAGUCUUUCGGAGGUGCUGAUAGGGGUAGGGUGUGCGUGUAUGCGUUCAUAGGGGUGAGUGUACGCACGUGUUGUGAGUGUCUGUGUUUGUACUGUGUUUCUCAAAAAAAAACUAAAAAAAUGUAAAAAUUCUUUGCCGGCGGCUUUUUGUCGGGCCACCGGCAAAGAGGGCUAAAAAAAAACAAAAACCUCCGUCCCCCCUCUUUCUCUCUCUCUCUCUCUCUCUCUCUCUCUCUCUCGCGCCCGCGCCCGACCGCCGCCGUCGCCCCCCGGCCGAAUCCCCCCAGAUCCGGCCUCCCCCUCCCUCUCCCCGCCGGCCGCGCCUCCCUCCUCGCCGGUCCCCGCCACCCUCGCCUCCCCCCCUCCCCCGCCUCGACCUCGACCUCGACUACUUCGUCUACGGUGUAGCUUGGUGAGCAUCUCCCUCUAUCUCACCUUCCCCUUUUGCUCUGUCCCGGCCAUCGAGCCGAUGACACUUGUAGUUUAAAUGUCAAAGUCGCGUAACCCUAUGCGUCUCCCGUCUGAAAGGGUUACGUAUAUAAAUAUGCAAGUCUUUGCAUAUCUAUAAGUGUAACUCUUUCGGAUUGUCCACGUUUUUUGGACAGCCCGGGGGUGUGUAGAUUGGGUUCGUUUCCGUGCUCUAGUCUGGUCCGAGACGUGAUUUCGGCAGCAUCUCCCCGUUGUUCUCUGGAUGCACAUUCUCUUGGCUUGUUGUCGAGACGUGUAUUUGGAGAACAACGGGGAGGUGCUGCCGAAAUUUCGUCUCAGACCGGACUGGAGCACGGAAACGGCCCAAUCUACACACCGUCGGGUGGGAUUAGGACCUAUCUUUACCUAUUAGUGGAAUAGUUCAGUACAUGCCCUUUUCAGUGAACAAAUAAAAUAUGUGACGUAAUUAAUUUGACGAAACUAAUUACUUGUGUUGCUAGUUGUGUUAUUAAACCGUGUAUCCCUUUGGUGUCAUGUGGUAUCCGAAAAUAGCAGAGAAUGGUUGAUCGUCAGUGGAUGUAUAGUGGCCGCUGUAGUCGGACAGACCAGGAUGAUGAUUGGAUGAAAAACACGGCAGAUUUCUUAGAGGUUGCAUUUGCUAGAGGAGAAGAGCGUGCUUGGUGCCCUUGCAGUCAUUGCAAUAACAAGACACAAUACACGAAGGAUGAGAUGGACAAUCACUUGCUGUUGUACGGGUACACGCCAAACUAUACUCGAUGGGGCUACCAUGGUGAGCAAGAGGAUAGAGGAAGAGAGGAGGUCGUGCGAAGGCGCACGGACGACUAUGAUACGGGGUUCCAAGACAUGCUAGAUGACUUGGAUGAAGCACGCGUUCCAACGGAGGAAGAACUGGAGGGAACCUCUAAGGCCUAUCUUGAUAUGCUGGCGGAGGCAAGCACAGAUCUACAUGCUCACACAAAGGUCAAUAAGCUGGAUUCCGUUGCUAGAAUAAUGGCUGUGAAGACCGAGUUCAACUUGAGCAGAGAAUGGUUUGAUGUGAUGAUGGCAGUUAUCGGUAGUCUCCUCCCGAAAGGCCACCUUUUGCCUAAAAGCAUGUACGAGGCGAACAAAAUGCUUUGUGUACUUAAGUUGCCAGCUCAGUGCCUACAUUCAUGUAAAAAUGGAUGCACGGUGUUUGACAGAGAAUACGCGGAUGCCAAGCAUUGUCCCAAGUGCAAUUUCUCUAGGUAUGUCGAGGUAGACCACGGGAAGGAUCUGGUGCAGUCGAAAAUACCCCAUAAAGUUCUUAGGAUGCUUCCAUUCUUAGAAAGAAUUGGCCGGAUGAUGCUAUCCGACGUGCCUGGCAAAGCUGUGACACAUCACAAACUGGGGAAGAAAUACAAAUACAACAAGGAUCAUAGGCCGAUGUUGACACAUCCGUCGGAUGGCGAAGCAUGGAAGGAUUUUGAUCGGAAGUAUCCGGAGAAAGCCGCAGAGCUUCGGAAUGUUCUAGUUGCCAUUGCAACUGAUGGGUUCAAUCCAUUUGGCAUGACGAGUGCCCCAUACAGCUGCUGGCCAGUGUUUGUAAUUCCGCUCAAUCUCUCUCCCGGAAUGAUAAUGCAACGGAAGUACAUGUUCUUGGUGCUGAUAAUUCCAGGACUAGAAUAUCCAGGGAAGAACAUUAAUGUGUAUAUGCGACCCCUGAUGGAGGAGUUGAAAAGAGGUUGGGAGGAAGGGAUCAUGGUGUAUGACAAAGCUACAAAGACAAACUUUAGGAUGCAUAUCUGGUUCCAGUUCUCCAUUCAUGACCACCCGAGGGGAUCUAUACUCUCCGGCAAAGGCUUGCAGGGGAAGUUCAUGUGCCCACACUGCAGGACUGAUUUGGAGUUCUAUCGGCUCGUUCAUGGUCGCAAGUAUUGUUGCUUCGAUCUGCACAGGCGAUUCCUUCUGCCUAACCAUCCGUUCAGACAAGACAAGAAGAACUUCAGGAAAGGUGUGGUCGUCGAAGAGGGGCCACCCCGUUAUCACACCGGUUCUGAGCUUCUUGCUGAGCUGGAUGCUCUUGUGCCCGACCCGACACAACCUGACAAGUUCCUGGGGUAUGGUGAUACACACAACUGGACUCACAAGUCAUGCUUCUGGGAGCUCCCCUACUUCAAAGACAUUAUUCUUCCACAUUGUAUUGAUGUGAUGCACACCGAAAAGAAUGUCGCCGAAGCCCUUUUCAACACAAUUCUCAACAUUAUUGACAAUACGAAAGAUAAUCCGAAGGCUAGAAAAGAUCAAGAAGAACUUUGCGAUAGACCACAGCUAAGCAUUAAAAAGGUGCCAAGCAGGUCAGACAUCAGGCCAAAUGCCCUGUUUGCUCUCGACAUACACAAAAAGAUGGAAGUACUCCUGUGGUUCAAAGAGUUGAAGUUUCCUGAUGGGUAUGCAACUAAUCUAAAGAGGGGAGUUAAUCUUGGCACCAUGCGAAUCAACGGCCUCAAGAGUCAUGACUAUCACAUAUGGAUUGAGCGUUUGCUGCCGGUGAUGGUUCGAGGCUAUGUGUCAGAGGAUAUUUGGCGGGUGUUGGCAGAGUUGAUCACUUUCUUCCGUCGGCUUUGUGCUAAAGAACUAUCCCCCACCUUGCUAUAAGAAAUGGAAAAACAAGCCCCCGUGUUGCUAUGCAAGCUAGAGAGGAUCUUUCCGCCGGGCAUGUUCGUGACGAUGCAACAUCUAAUUAUCCACCUCCCGUACGAGGCACGGAUGUGGGGCCCCGUGCAGCAUCAUUGGAUGUAUGCCGUCGAGAGACUUAUGAAGACCCUUCGAGCUAAAGUAAAAAACAAAUCUAAAGUUGAAGCCGUCUCAAGGAAGUGUCAAAUGCAACGACGAGUUACUAUAGCUCCGAUAUUGCCACGCUGCAUAAUCCAAUCUCCCGCUACAAUCUUGGCAACCCUGAAGAUGAGUCCAAGUUGAGCCUAUUCAAAGGGCAACUUGGAACUUCUAAAGCCGAGAAAACAGUCACCUUGUCCUACCAAGAGUGGCGAUCCCUUACGUUAUAUAUCUUGAACAGCCUCAACGAAGUCCAGCCGUACAUCAAGUAAGUGCCCAGUAAAUAAUUCCUCUUUGCAAUUGAUCACAAGUUUAUCUCUAACUCAUCUUAUUCUCAUUGCGUCAGCACAUUCACUCAACUAAACUGGAAGCAAACAAGAAAACCCGAUCCACUAGAACAUGAUGCCCUUCUUAGAGAUGGUCCAAAUGGCCCCGGAUCCGGUUUCAUUGAGUGGUUCCAAAAUCAAGUACUUUCUUUCUUAGCUCCUAGUUGUUUCAACACCUAGAGGCCUUGCGUGCGACUAAUACAUGAUGCUUUUCUGCUUAAACCUGUAGGCUAACAACGAUGCGUCUAUGAGCUCCCAAUUGAGACAAAUUGCCAAUGGUUUUGAUGUCAAGGUUGGUUCAUUCAAAUCCUACGACGUCAAUGGAUAUCGAUUCCAUACAACAGGGUACGAGCUCAGUCGGCCCAAUCGAACCUCAACAAAUUCCGGGGUGUUCGUAGAAUGCGGUGGAGAUGACUUCUACGGAGGGUUGAGCAGAUAUACGAACUACAAUACCGCGGCCCCAAACCUCCAAAGGUCGUUGUAUUCAAAUGCCGUUGGAUCGAUCUGAAACACGUUAACAAGGAUGACACAAUUGGCCUAGUCGAAGUAAAACGAGACAGUGUCUUCGAAUGCGAGGAUGUAUAUAUUGUGGCUCAACAAGCUACACAAGUUUAUUUCCUCCCGUAGCCGUGCACUAAAGUGGCUCGCCUUCAGGGUUUGGAUGUCGUGUACCACGUGCAGCCACAUGCUAAAUGUCGUGGUGGUGUCACGGCAGAUGCCAUAGGAUGGCUUAACUUGGGGCCGAUAGACGAAGGAGGAACCGGAGGAGGGAGGACGUGAAGAAGAACACGCACGAUUCACACAAGAACACACAGAUUUACCCAGGUUCGGAGCCCUCUUGUCGAGGUAAGACUCCUACUCCUGCUUUGCUGUAUUAGCCGACAUAGGCAAGCUCUACAAAGGCGCUCCUUGAGCUGUAUUCUUGAGGAAGAAGAAGAAGAAGGGGAAACCCUAAAAUGUCUAAGUGCUCCGUCCCCUCUCCAGGGAGGUGCAGUGCUCUAUUUAUGGGCCAGGCAUGUCACACUGACAUGCGGGCCGAGUCUAACGACACCUUCCUUGGGCCCCGCCGGGCACGCGGCUCGGUUCCCUCCAGGCAGUACCGCAGGGGACAAGACAACUUUACUUUUCCCUGCUAGCCUGCAACGGGUACAGCUAUCCUCUGCCGGCUUCCGUCAUAGAUUCCCUUUCGAUGCUUCUCUAGCGUGGUCACCUGAUACCGGUACGUAGACGCUGACUGCUUUUCUGAGAUGAUGAUAACGCUGCUUUACUUUGCACCGCGUGGUCAGGAUAAGACCGUUGAAGGAUCUUGGCACCACCGAGGUCCAGGGGCUCGUCCUUAUCCUGCAAACUUACAAGAUAAGAAAACUAUGCCGGCAUACGCCUGGGAUGCCGGCUUAUCGUUAGUUUAACUUUAUGAUGCCGACAUACGUUGCUAUGCCGGCUUUGCCUCCGUUAUCUCGGCUAGAGUUGUGUCGCCAUGACCCUACCCGGGGUCAUCCCCCCGACACUAGUCCCCGAAGCUGUGGUGGUCCGGCAUAGAAGGAUGUCGGGCUGCGACAGUUUCCCAUAGACAGACCACUAACACCUAUUUGGGUCCAGUCGAGAGGGAUGCCAAGACAACCCCAGGUCCUCCUAGCCGAGAUCAAUUCAUUCCGGGACUCCGGGUUGGCGUGCUUAUGCAGCCCUUAGCCGAGAUUCUUUCUUCUCCAUGACCGACAAUUAAAAACUUACUUCUGCCGACAUAACCGCAGCCAACGGGAGGAUAAGGCUUGAGUUACUGCCACCGAGCAUUUUGAGUUGAGCGUGCUGUCGCGUCGGACAGUAAAGCCGACAGAGCCUUUAAGGAUAGAACUUCGGUUCCCACGCGGACACUUAUCCUCCAGAUCUCGCGGGAUUCUCGGCGGCACGCCGCGCAAUAACCGAGCGUGCGCCUUGAUGAGCAUAACUGCCCAAAUCGUGCGCAAUCUUCCCGUGAGCCACUAAGGUGGUGGCACGGGAAACGCGCACCCCAUUACUUCGCCUCAUAUAUAAAAGGAGGAGGAUGUGGGCAGAAAACCCUUCGCACUCCUCGCUCUCUUCGUCCCUUCGUUCUCCUCUGCUCCUCGCGCACUUCGCCGCCGUCUGCUAACUCCAAGCAUCCCCGCCACCGUGGUUUCUCGCCUCCGAGCUCGCAGCCGCCGCUUCGCUCGCAACCACCUAGGCCUCCGCCACACUAGCUUGCUAGCUCAGGCCUCGCGCAGGCACUUCCCCAUCGAAGCUCCAAACCCUAGAUCUGUUUUCCUUCAAUGGCGUCUUCUUCUCGCAACCCAGCCGUCGACCCUGCUGCCCAGACUGAGGAGAGGACCAGCUCCGAGCGCGCCGCCUGGGAGGGCUUCGACGUGACCCCGGCGGAUAUCGCGUGGCUCCGCCGCUCCCGGCGAAUCCCGGAGGAGGUCGAGUGCCGCAUUCCCGGCGGAGAAAUCGUGCCAACCCCCGAAACCGGUGAGUACGUCGUCUUCCUCUCACACUUUGAGCACGGUUUUGCUCUCCCCGCUAGCGAUUUCUUUAGGACUUUCCUAGAUUUCUUUGGCCUCCAGCCGCACUAUCUUCCGGCAAACGCCAUUCUCACCCUCUCAGCAUUCAUCACCUGCUGUGAGGGUUAUCUCGGCCUCUGGCCAUCCAUCGACCUGUGGUCCCGGUACUUCAUGUUCCGGCCACUGGUUCUCCCCGACAGAGACAAUCCCGGUCCUCCAAAGCCGAUGAUGCAGUGCGGCGCCACCACCAUCGUCCCUCGCCGCAACUCGGAUUUUCCGAGGAUCCAGGGUCUUGAGUCAUGUAAGAAAUGGCUCAAGACCUUUUUCUAUAUCAAGAACUCCGCCGCCACCGACCUCAUCAACCUUUCGGGAUUCGAGGUCGCCCCCCCGGAAGAGAAGAGGAACUGGUCCUUCGACCCGAAGGAUUCUUUCCCGGAAGGUGCCGAGAUCCAUGCCAGGAUCCUUGAGCUCAAGGAGAAGGGGAUGUCGACCGAUGACCUGCUGGCAACCUUCAUAUACCGGCGCCUAUGCCCGCUCCAGCACCGGAUCCACAAGAUGUGCUAUUAUUGUGGCCAAUUUGACCCGGAUAGGGUGUCGACCAUCAAGCUCUCCCAUGCUAAGGUUCGGCGUCGGGUCAAGGCGAUCGCCAAAACUAGCAUGUCGGAGAAAUGGGUGUGGGGUAUGCCGGCAUAUGCCCAGGAUCGUCGCGCUCCUUCGGUAAGCCUUAACUUUUACUCAUUUCAUGCUUGUAUCCGACAUACUGCUAUGCCGGCACUUGUCCAAUAUAAGCUUAUGUCGGUUCAACCCGACUCCUUUGUGCAGAUGUUCUCUCUUCAGCGGAGGGAAGAUGGGGGCUCUCGUGACAAGCGCUUCGCUGCCCCGUGCAGAUCCGCUAACGCCGAGGAUCCAGACUCGGAGGAUUUCAUGCAAUCCCCCAUGCUGGUCCUCGCCGUAUCGAAAGUAAGAACCUUUGACACUCUUCUGUAAUUUCUUCAAUAUCUGUUAGUAAAAUAUUCAUACUUGCUUUUUUCCGGAUAUAGCCGACUCAGGCAAGCCUGCCGCGGCGGCGCCGACUCGGGAGAAUUGCGUUGUCUCAAAGAAGCGCGCCGCCGAGAAGGACCUUCCGGCGAAUGUGAAGUGGAAGAGGGCUGCGGCUCAUGGCCCCAAGCCCAAGCCCUUGGUCGUCGGGUAAGGCCAAUCUCACCUCGAUCGCUUAUGUCAGUCUUCUUCUUUCGUUGUCAAGCAAAUAGCUAAGUUUUACUUCUACAGGGAGGCUUUGACGGCCACACAAUCUCAGAAGUGUAUCGCGUCUGAGAUCCCGGCGACUCGUUCUUCCCGUGCCGAGGCCUCAAACCCGGCUACGGGCGGGAAUGAGACCGCCGGGGGAUGUCGGAUCAAGUGCCAACGCCACGGUCGUCGGCUAGACCGAGAUUCCUUCAGCCGGGGUCUCGGCGACCGAGGCUGCCACCGAGGUAGCCCCUCCCCGGCCGCAGCCGAGACAUCAACGGAGCCGCCGGCCUCCAAGACGCCGCAAGAGCCGGCGACAGGUCCCCAGGACCCCCAAGAGCCGCAGCCGACUCCGACGCCGUCUCCGUCUACGUCGCGGCCGGAGGAUGCCCAAGUUGCUACCGCACAGGCUAAGAAAGCCAAGGGCCCUGCUGCUGCAACAAAGUUGGCAGCCCCAGGCUCCGCUGGCUCGCGGCCUUCCGGCAGGCCACAGGAGGUUCCCCAUCGGACAACCAGUGGGCACAGCUAGGGGUCGUUGGGCCAGUCCGUUAUGGACUGAAACAAUGCUGAUCACUAUGAAGUGACCUCCAGCAGUGUGCAGUCGGCGCGGCAGAGCCCCUUGGUGGGGCCACCGCCGGCAGCGACUCCGGAGUCGAUCUCGACCCGGAUGUACCAAGCCAGGGUGGCUUUGUUCGAGGCCGGCCGAGCCACCGAGGUAUGAACAAUCCUUCAGAAAACUUUAACUUCUAAAUUUAGCAUCGUAUCCGUAUUCCUAGUCCCCGAGGUUUAGGGCGAGUAGAAAAUAGUCGGCAUGAAGCUUAGAAUACUUCAAACAGUUAUUCCCCGAGAUUUAGGCCGGGUUUAGAAUAGUGGGCCUGAAGCUUAGAAUACUUCAAACACUUAUUCCCCGAGAUUCAGGUCGGGUUUAGAAUAGUCGGCCCGAAGCUUAGAAUACUUCGAACACUUAUUCCCCGAGAUUCAGGUCGGGUUUAGAAUAGUCGGCCCGAAGCUUAGAAUACUUCGAACACUUAUUACCCGAGAUUCAGGUCGGGUUUAGAAUAGUCGGCCCGAAGCUUAGAAUACUUCGAACACUUAUUUCCCGAGAUUCGGGUAUUAACUUCCUGCUGCAGUAAUCUUAGCUGUGAAUCACUGUAACACUUAUUCCCCGAGAUUCAGGUCGGGUUUAGAAUAGUCGGCCCGAAGCUUAGAAGACUUCGAACACUUAUUCCCCGAGAUUCAGGUCGGGUUUAGAAUAGUCGGCCCGAAGCUUAGAAUACUUCGAACACUUAUUCCCCGAGAUUCGGGUAUUAACUUCCUGCUGCAGUAAUCUUAGCUGUGAAUCACUGUUUUGCAGCUUUGCAUGAAUAAGCGCACCGCCAUCUUCAAGACUUUGCUAGCGAAGUACAAGAAGUUGGAGGCGGAGCACAAGGCUCUGAAGGCUGAGCGCGAGAGCCAAAGUAAGUAUAUCCUACCGAGAUAAGAUCUCCGUCCGAGUAUCAGUAUUCUGCACCCACUAACACUUGUUCUUGUUCACAGCCGGGGACAACGCUCAAGUAGCGGAGUUGCUAAAGCGCGUUGCCGAGGUUCAAGGUAACAUUUCAUCCUCAGUCCGGGUUCCAUUCAUAUUAAAUGUCAGCCUCUGUAAUCUACAUCCGUUUAAACAGACGAGAAGACUCGGCUGGCCGAUCAGCACCGGGAAGAAAUUACCCGGCUGCAAACGCAGAUCGCGGCGCAGGCUGAGACGCACCAGACCGAGGUGAACCAACUCACCUCGGCCCUCUCUUCCCAGGCCGAUGAGAAAAUCCGCUUGGAAGACGAGGUGGAGAAGGGCAAGGCCCUCGCUGUCCAGCUCGAGACUCGCGCCACCUCCGCCUAGUUGGAGGACGCCGAGAAGGCCGGCCUUCUUAAGGUCCUCCAAUCGUGACAUCAUCAAGACCGACAGCAUGCUGACGAGUAAGUUGAACUUCUUCAUUCAGUUACUUGUUUGAAUAGUAGCACUAACAUGCCGAGAUUGACUACAAUUCCUUUGUUUCUGCCAGAAUUCUUCCCCUUAUCCGUCCAGCAUGCUCAAGAGAGCGUGAGUGUCGCUCGCCGGAAGAGGGAUCCGGCGGUAGCGGCGGGGGAGCCCUACGAAUGGGACUUGGUGGACUACCUGGUGAGCAUCGCGAGCCGGGUUAAGCCUCUCAAGUCAUUCGGCGUCGACAUGCUGGACGCCGCCCUCCAAACCUUCCGCGCGUUGUGGCCCGGCGAAGAGGUUCCGAUGGAGAUCCCGGACCUGGCAAGCCGGCUACACGAGGCCCCGUCCCGGCUGCAAGAAUGGCGGGAGUCGGCUGCACGUGUCGGUGCUGACGAGGCCCUGUCGUUCAUACUAUGCUGGUACGACGGCAUCAACCUCAAUGUGCUGCAGACAAUGGGGGCUGGCUCCCCCCAUCUCUCGGAUCCGGAGUUGGUGGCCAAACGCAAAGAGCGGGCCUACUCCUUCAUACAAUGUGCCGACGUGCAUAAGAUUGUUGAAGGCCCAAUCUCUGACGCCGAGGCUGAGAUGACGGAUGGGGAAGAGGAAGCGGAAGAAAAGAAGAAGCCGUUGUGGAGUCGAGCUACACUGCGCCGAGUUCCCGCACCAAUAACCCUGUUGUAUCUUCUUAGUUUAUUCAUGAAAAAUUGUAGAAUGCUUAGAUCCCUGGAAUGCCGAGUGCAAGUGUAACCGACAUACUUCUAUGCUCUCAAUUUUAACCAAGUCUUUUGUUUAUCAAAUUCCCGACCGAGUCCCUGAGUGCAUUUUUUUUCUCUCAGUAAAAUUUUACAACUUCGGUUCUUUUGUAUGCCUAACCGGCGUUCGACGUAUGAAUCGCAAAGUCAUAAAACCACUCUCUCGAAAAAAAAAAGUAACUUGAAAAAUUCGCUCGGGAAUAACCGAGUUACAAAGAAAUGCCGAGUUAAGAUAACAUGUAUCUCGGAUCGCCUCUUUGCUUGUUUCUACAGUCAUUUUUCAUGUGCUCGGUUAUUUUAUAGCCAUCUCUAGCUUGCCAUGAAGCCGGGUUGCGGACAACAUCGAAGUCAUACAGGAGUUUUUUCAAUACCGACACACUACUAGAUUAACAUAAGAUUACGCAACCAAGCCAUGCUGACAUACAAAAGAUAAUUGUAACAAAGCACUUAAAUUUAAGUCCUCGAGUUUCUUUUAAGAACCCGGCGGAUAAUUUCGUUGUCUUAAUUAAAACAUUCAACAUAAUGAAAAAACAAUACAAAUACUCAGCUCUCAAAUAUAGAACGGACGAAGCAACGCUACAUUCCACGGCCUCUUGGUCUUCUUGCCUGACCGGUCCAUCCUGUUCGCCUUGGGAUCUUGUGCAUCUAUAAGAUAGUAAGAAUCAUUGUGGAGUGCUUUGCUCACAAUGAAGGGUCCUUCCCAUGGAGGUGAUAAUUUGUGCAUGCCGGCUGUGCGCUGCACAAGCCGGAGGACAAGAUCUCUUUGCCGGAAUACUCAUGGGCUGACCUUUCGGCUGUGAUAACGCCUUAGGUACUGUUGAUAGAUGGCCGACCGAGAUAGAGCCAAUUCCCGUGCUUCUUCGAGCAGGUCGACAUCAUUUUCUCAGGCCUCUUUCACCUCGGCCUCCCUAUACAUGGUUACUCGUGGAGAGUCAUGUUCAAUGUCGGCUGGUAGGACAGCUUCCGCCCCGUACACAAGGAAGAAUGGCGUGUAGCCUGUAGAGAGAUUGGGAGUCGUCCUGAGACUCCAUAGAACAUCCAGGAGUUCAUCCAGCCAGCAUCCCGGAGUACGCUCCAAUGGUUCAAUUAGCCGGGGUUUUAUGCCGGCCAAAACCAUGCCAUUCGCCCUUUCAACUUGCCCAUUGGAUUGAGGAUGUGCUACGGAAGCAACAUCCAGCCGGAUUUUCUUUUCAGCACAAAAUCGCGCGAAAGGUCCCUCCGCGAAGUUCGUUCCAUUAUCCGUGAUGAUACUGUGCGGGUACCCAUAUCUCAAGAUGAUAUCCUUCAGAAAUGACACCGCGGUUUUUCCGUCACACUUUUUUAUCGGCUUGACCUCAAUCCAUUUGGUGAACUUGUCGACCAUGACCAGGAUAUGCGUCAUGCCUCCUCGCGCCUGCUUGAACGGUCCUACCAUAUCCAAACACCAGACGGCAAAAGGCCAAGUGAUUGGAAUAGUCUUAAGUUCGGAUGCCGGCAUAUGAAUCUUUCGGACAUAUCUCUGGCAGCCGUUGCACUUUCUGACUAUGUCUUCUGCUUCUUGUAGAGCACUCAGCCAGUAAAAACCAUGCCGGAAAGCUUUGCCCACUAGCGUUCUCGAAGAUGCGUGAUGGCCACACUCUCCUUGAUGAAUAUCCCGAAGUAUUUCUUGUCCUUCCUCCGGCUCAACGCACCGCCGUAGGACGUUAGUGACGCUCCUCUUGUAAAGCUCGCCAUUGAUGAUGGUGUACGCUUUCGCUCUUCUCUAGAUUUGUCUUGCCGACAGUUCCUGUUCCGGGAGACUCCCAUCUUUGAGGUAAGACAUUAUCGGUUGCGCCCAGGCCGGCACGGGGCGAGUGGUGAAGAUCGGCUCAUCUGGUUUGUCUAUCUCCAUUGGUUCAAUCGCCAUUGCUUCCGCUGAGUUAAGGCGCUCAGUCCCCGGGUUAUUAGAACCGUUGCCACUAUCAAUGUCCAUGAGGGUGGCGUCAGCUUCUGAACUUGCCGGGAUAAAUAUCGACUCCGAUUCUGGCGAGGGUUUGAUGGACGGUUUGCGUAAAUGUUCUAACGCCACCCCAGCUGGAAUAGCCUGUCGUGUCGAGCCGAGUUUCGACAAUGUGUCGGCUGCUUCAUUUUCUGCCCGAGGUACAUGGUGAAAUUCACACCCGUCGAAGUGACCACUGAUUUUCUGAACGUGAAACCGGUAUAGCGCCAUAUUGGCAUCCAAUGCAUCCCAGUUACCAGAAACCUGCUGGACAACAAGAUCCGAAUCACUGAAACAUUGGAUCCGCCGAACUCCAAUUUCCUUUGCCGUUUUCAAUCCAUGUACAAGCGCUUCAUACUCGGCCACAUUGUUGGAUGCUGCGAAGUGAAUUUGGAAUACGUACUUAAGCUGAUCGCGCUUUGGCGAGGUCAGAACUAUGCCGGCGCCAAGCCCGCUUUUCAUCUUAGAGCCGUCAAAAUGUAAUUUCCAGUAGUUAGUUUCCGGGGGCGGUGGUUCGUACUCCAUCUCGGCCCAAUCCACCAAGAAAUCUGCCAAAGCCUGAGAUUUCACCGCAUCCCGUCUGUCGUACUGCAGCGCAUAGGACGCCAACUCGACGGCCCAUUUUGCGACUCGGCCGCUCGCAUCUUUGUUACUCAUGAUUUACGAGACGGGUGCCUCACAUAUAACUCGGAUCUGAUGUGCCUCAAAGUAAUGCUUUAGCUUUUUUGCCGCCAUAUAUACGCCAUACGCCAUCUUUUGGUAGUGGGGAUAAUUUUGCUUGGACGACGAUAACACCUCGCUCAAGUAAUAUACUGGCCUCUGCACCGCUUUGCCAUUUUCAUCCCUUUCCACUACGAUGACAGCACUGACAACUCGAUUUGUCGUUGCAAUGUAUAACAACAUAGGCUCCUUCUCCAUCGGCGAAGCUAAUAUAGGUGUCGUAGCAAUCAUCUUCUUCAGCUCUUGAAAAGCUAGGUCCGCCUGUGGUGUCCACAGAAAUUUGUCUGUUUUCUUCAUCAGCUGGUAUAAGGGCAUAGCCUUUUCACCUAGCCGACUAACGAAACGACUCAGCGACGCUAGACAUCCCGUGAAUUUCUGCACAUCUUUGAGGCACUUUGGCAGUUUCAUUCUUUCUAUAGCAGCAAUGUUCACAUGGUUCGUUUCUAUUCCUCGACUUGAUACCAGGAAACCGAGUAACUUUCCUGCCGGCACACCGAAUGUGCACUUGGCGGGGUUCAGUUUCAUUCAGAAUCUCCGCAGAUUUGCGAAUGUUUUCCGAAUAUCAUGCAGGAGCAUGGAGCUUUUCUUAGUUUUUAUGACGACAUCGUCGACAUACACCUGCACAUUUUUGCUGAGUUGAUCGUGCAAGCACUUCUGCAUGCACCUUUGAUAGGUAGCCCCGGCAUUUCUCAAACCAAACAACAUAGUGCGAUAGCAAUAAGCUCCGAACGGGGUGAUAAAUGAUGUCUUUAUUUGAUCAUUAGGGUUCAGCGGUAUCUGAUGAAAACCAGAGUACGCAUCCACAGAAGACAACAACUCACACCCGGAAGUGGAGUUGAUCACUUGAUCGAUCCGAGGUAAUGGAAAGGGAUCUUUGGGACAUGCCUUGUUGAGGCUGGUGUAAUCGAUACACAUGCGCCACACUUUGGCAGCAGUUGGGUCGUCUUUCUUCUUCUCGACCGUUUGCCAGCCAGUCGGGAUGCAACACCUCCAUGAUGAAGCCAGCAGCUAGAAGCCGGGAUACCUCUUCCGAUAUGACUUUCCUUUUGUCGUCUGCAAAGCGUCGAAGGGGCUGCUUCACCGGUCUUGCGUCUGAACUGACAUGCAAUGAGUGCUCAGCUAACUCCCUCGGCACACCUGGUAGGUCUUGAGUUGACCAUGCAAAGAUAUCCCAAUUCUCACGGAGGAAGCUGCUGAGCUCGCCUCCUAUUUCUCCCCCAGGCCGGCACCAAUGAUGACGGUGCGGUCCGGGAACUCUCUGUCGACCUGUAUCUUCUUUGUCUCCUUGGCUGCCUAAAAAGUCACACUUCCAUGAGGAUUGGUCAUAGCCGGCAGGCCAAUCUGUGCCGUCUGAGCCAUCGCAAUAGCUACUUGUAAUUUCUUCUUCUCGCUAGAGAUGACCAGUGACUCGGCCAGAGCAGAUCCUGCCGCCGCGCAUUCAAUUGAACGCUUGUAAUUGACAGAGAUGGUUAUGGUACCAUUUGGUCCCGACAUCUUCAUCUUGAGAUAGUCGAUGUGAGUAGUUGCCAUGAACUUGGCGAGUGCCGGUCUGCCAAGCAGGGCGUGGUGCGGACUGUUGAGGUCCACCACCUCAAACACUAGGUUCUCAGUCCGACAAUUCUCCCUGGUGCCGAAUAAGACGUCCACUCAAAUCUUACCUACCGAAGCACAAGACACUCCUGGCACAAUACCGUGAAAGGUAGUGCGGCUGGGUUCAAGCAUGUUAUCUGUAAUGCCGAGCUUGAGCAUCGUGUCCCGGUAUAGGAUAUUGAUGCUGCUCCCAUUAUCAAUGAGAACCCGAGUGAAUUUGACGUUAAUGUCGGGCCCGAUGAGUAUCGAAUCAACCACCAGGGCGUAUCCACCAGGAUUGGGCAUAACCUUUGGAUGGUCUGCCCCGUUCCAGUUGAUCUCCUGCUCCGACCAAUACAUGAAUUUUGGGACUGCCGGAAUAACAGCAUUGACUUCCAUCUCUCGCCUGUGCUGACUUUGUUUGUCAAUAGGCUCAGCGAUGAAAAUCAUGUAGCUUUGGUGAUGCUCUUUGUAUUCAUUUCUCCCGGCAUACCUUUGGAUUUCUUGUUCCUCAACUUGAUUAACAGCGUUGUUUGCUUGAGGGGGUCCCUGAAUCUGUGCGUUUGCACCCGUGAGGGGUGGAGGUGGGGGUAACCGACUUGCCUCGCCGUUCUCGGCCCGUGGCAUCCAGCUGCAUUGCUGCGUUGUGUGGUUCGCGGCUUGUUGGGGUUAGUCGUUGAAAACGACAAGGCUGAUCCAACAUCACCUCGAAAGUAUACUUUGGCUUAUUUUGCCAGGGCUUCUUUUGUUCUCCCUUCUUGACCCACUGCUGAUUUCCUGUUUUCUGACGCUGACUAGAGCCAGCGUCAGGCUGGUCCUGAACUGCAGCGACAUGGGCUGGCCCAUACCGGUAAUCAGGCCUGUCAUCCCUUCUCUUGUUGCCAUGAUCUUGAUGAUCGUUCCUCCGGAACGCCUCAGCAGGAUUGUAUGUCAGCUGCUCUCUUUGUGGUUCUACCGGCAUCACCGAUGGCUGAGUCGGAUCGCCAAGCGCGUACAUGUCGGUGAUCCUGAUCAUUUUAGAUAGAGUGGUUGGCAUCUCUCUUUGCAGUUUCUGCCACAGCAUGCUGCCGUGCCGACAUCCCUGGGCAAACCACGAUAUGGCUUGCGAUUCCACUAUCCCUUCACAGGAAUUACGGAGAUUGUUCCAUCUUGUCAGGUAAUUCCGGUCAGUUUCGUUGUCUCUUUGCUUACACAUGGACAACUGUUGAGGACGAUUCGGCCUCUCGUAAGGGCUAGUGAAAUUGCUGACAAAUGCUUCCUCAAAGUCUAUCCAGCAAUUGAUGCUACUUUCCGGCAAAUUGUUCAACCAUAUCCUUGCCGGCCCCAUGAGCAUCUGGGGUACAUAACGUAUUGCCCAUCUGCGAUUGCCACCUGCCACGCUUACUGCCGUGACAUAGUCUUCCAGUCAAUCUUCCAGCUUAGCACUGUCGUCAUACGUUCUUGCACCCCUGGGCAACUGAAAACCCGAGGCUGGUCUCUCCCUCAUGAUCCGAUGCGCGAAGCAACGCGGUCCCGGAGGGCCUUGCUCCUCCAGAAGCUCGGACAGAUAAAUUCGAUCAAGCCGAUGUCAUGCAUCCAUGGGCGAUACCUGCCUGUUCCCAAUUCGGCCUCCGAGCGGACCGAGAUUGUCGCGCUCUCGCCUGAUAUAACCCUCAUCAGCCAUGGCCGAGUAUCCGUCAUCGUAACGGUCAUAACGGCGAUCUUCACCUCGAUACAGGGGGUUGCGCCCGACACCCUGCUGUCCCGCAGCAGUAUUAGGUGCCGGACCCCGAGGUCGGUGCCCAUGGUCAUACGAGUAACGCUCCUGCUGAUCUCGGCGGUUGCCGCCGGGACGCAGACCACUUUGGCUAUCAUCAACCCUUCUGACUAUUUGUUUCUCGGCCAGGGCAGGGUCACAGCGUUCCAACUGAUUAUCCCGUCCAGAGUUAACGCUUUUGUCCCGUUUGCCACCAGGUGAGGACGCUUGUUUGUUAACCCGGCCACCAGCAUCUGCAGCCGAGUGGAUGACCUGAGAUGCACUGGGUUUGCCGUGCAUUCUCAAGUAUGCCUCAUUCUGUUCGUUGGCUAUUUGGAGCAGUUAUUUCACGCGCAGCUGCUGCUGCCGAAGUGCCUCUCCUGUAAGAUUCGGCAACUCCUCAGCCGCAGCCUCGGCAGCCCGGAGGUUUUUGACAGGGGUAUUGUAUUUCGGCUUUAGUGCCGAGGCAAAACUUGCCAACACAGCUGGCACACCCCUGCCCUCUCUCGUCAUCUCAGCAUUCAAGUUCUUGCCACGGUUAUGCACCUCCCCAACUCUGCUAGGGUUAGCAAAUGCAAUAGAACUGAGACCAUGAGCUUUGUUAUACUCACGGAGCGAGAUGUCGAGCUAUUGUCGGGCGUUGGCAACGUCGACGGCUUCCUUCAGCAGCUUCUGUCUCUCCAACUCUAACUCCGCCUGCAGCUAGGCCGGGUUAGCAUUCGACGCCACCGGCGCGGUCAGCCGCUCGAUGGAGGCCUAGAUUUGAGUUGGCUUCGGCGGCAUAGCUGAUGUGCCGGCUUGUGCGGCGAUGUUCUCCGGCUUCUCCAAAGGGAGCUUCGCCGUUCUGCCGGACUUGGUUGGGACAGCGCCACGUCCUGCAGUGUCCCUUCCCGCAUCAGCGCCAUGACCCGUCACAAUAACCUCUACACGGUCAGCGGGGCAGUCGACAUGCCGGCCGCGAGACGUGCAGAUGGCGGAGGGAUCUUCAGCCAUCACCACCUGCUUUGGGUACCUGCAAGGGCUGUCAGUAGCAACAUAGACCUCGUGCAUGCCGAAACUGAUGAAGCGGCCUGCACAGGGAAGCGGUGUGCCGUUGAAGCAGCCCGCGUUGUUGUCGAUGAAGCCCAGAGAGCCGAAUCUCUGGACCAAACCGGAGACCACGCGCUCUCCGGUGACGAGGAAGCUUCCCGUCCGGAUGAAAACUCCAGCCAGCGCCGCUGCUAGCGCCACGGUGGGCGCCAACUGUCGUGGUAAGACUCCUACUCCUGCUUUGUUGUAUUAGCCGAGAUAGGCAAGCUCUAAAAUGGCGCUCCUUGAGCUGUAUUCUCGAGGAAGAACAAGAAGAAGAAGGGGAAACCCUAAAAUGUCUAAGUUAUCCAUCCCCUCUCCAGGGAGGUGUAGUGCUCUAUUUAUGGGCCAGGCAUGUCACACUGACAUGCAGGCCGAGUCUAACGACACCUUCCUUGGGCCCCGCCGGACACGCGGCUCGGUUCCCUCCAAGCAGUACCGCAGGGGACAAGACAACUUUACUUUUCCCUGCCAGCCUGCAACGGGUACAGCUAUCCUCUGCCGGCUUCCGUCAUAGAUUCCCUUCCGAUGCUUCUCUAGCGUGGUCACCUGACACCGGUACGCAGGCGCUGACUACUUUUCUGAGAUGAUGAUGGCGCUGCUUUACUUUGCACCGCAUGGUCAGGAUAAGACCUUUGAAGGAUCUCGGCACCGCCGAGGUCCAGGGGCUGGUCCUUAUCCUGCAAACUUACAAGAUAAGAAAACUAUGCCGGCAUACGCUCGGGAUGUCGGCUUAUCGUUAGUUUAACUUUAUGAUGCCGGCAUACGUUGCUAUGUCGGCUUUGCCUCCGUUAUCUCGGCUAGAGUUGUGUCGCCAUGAACCUACCCGGGGUCAUCCCCCCGACAGUAAACUACCAGAAUUAAACGACCAAGAUUAUCUGCCGCAACGAGAGCCUGGCGACAAGUUUUUCCAAGAAGCUGGCGGGGACACAAGUGAUUUCGUGGUACGGUAUACCGAUUCUCCGGGCACGGAAGUAGACAAUGACGGUGAAGGUGACGAGGUUGAUGGUGAUGGUGACGACAACGAUGAGGAACAGGCCAAUGUUGAUAGUGAUGUUGAGAGUGAUCUUGAUGCGGCUCUUCUAGCUGAUCCCGAUGACGAAGACUACAAUCCACAUGCCCAUACUUAGUUGUUUCUUUUGUUUACAUCAAGUUGUAAUCCGUCCUACUUAAUUAGUUAGUUCGUUGUCUCCCAACUUUACUGUAUUGUACAUCAAGUUGUUUCAUUUGUUUACAUUUAGUUGGUGUUUCUUUUAUUUACAUCAAGAUGUUGUUUCAUUUGUUUACAUCUACUUGUAUAAUCCGUCCUAUUUAAUUAGUUAGUUCGUUGAAUCUCAACUUUACUUGUAUUGUACAUCAAGUUGUUUCAUUUGUUUACAUCAAGUUGUUGUUUCAUUUAUUUACAUCUACUGUAUAAUCCGUACUAACUUGUUCACUUUUCCUCAUGGAAGGUGAAUGAACCAUGGUGGGCGGGCGUAGUACCUCUCAGAGGCGUGUAGAAGAGCUAUACCCUCCGCCUAAAGUGAAGGCCAAACCCCCGAAGAAAACCCUGCACAUAAAGCAAAGGGCAAAGACAGGAGGGAGCCCUCUCCCUCGCCGCCGCCACUCGAUCCACUGUACGAUCCUGAGGAUGACAGGGAGGAGGAGAUUCAGGAGGAGGUGAGGGAGAUGGAGAUGGAGGCGGGGGACUUUGGUGAGGACGAGCUGCAGGAUCACUCUGUUGGUACCUCCGGGAGCCUCGGCGGGGGCUGCCUCCAGCUCUGGUACAGACAAAGUGUACCAGCGCGGUCCUACUCAUCUCCCCACCAAGCGGCCCUCUUGUGAAGCUGAGAAGUCGUUCAUUCAUCCAACAGCCAAGAUGUACAUUUCUUGAUCCUAGAAUUCACUUUACAUCAAAUUGUUGUUUCAUUUAUUAACUGCAAUUGACUUGUCUUAUCCUCGUGCAGGGGCUAGGUGGUUGUUGCACCCGGGUGUUUUACGAUGCAACCCAAGGCUGUGCUUGGGGUCCUCCUCAAGGACCACUUCCCUGGCAUGGUUCUUCUUGAAGGAAAGGAGGAGCGAGAGGUAGCCCGGACAUGGGCACACUACGUGGCCCAACCGGACUUUCAAGAUAGAGAGAAUGUGGUGUAUGCGAACAAAGCCGAGCGGGUGAAGGGCGAAUUUUGGGUAAGUCGCCUUCGCACAAUGCAUACAUUAGUCAAAACAAUUGUAAUGCAAAAUAUAUAACUCACGAAUGGAUCCGUUUUGCCUAACUGCAGCGGUUCUUCAAGCUGGCGGAAGGCAUUGAUGAUGCAACAAUUGCACGGCACUUCGAGGCAAGUGUGAAGAAGGCAUUGUCCGAGAUGUUCUAUCACGCGCGUGUCUACGCCGUGAGGAAGUACUAUGCCGAAGUGAAGAAACAGAGAUUGGACAAGGCACAAUGUAUCGUGACGCAUCUCGAGCACGAAUAGGACAUGCAGGUAAAGUAAAAUAAAGUGCAUUUCCUUGCUUAAUAAGGGCUAACGCUUAACUUCUUCGUGUUUGGGCUUGUACUUGUUCAUUUAGGUUCCUCCGCACUAGUGCAUCUCGCACUUAAAUGCCUGGAAGGCGCUGGUGGACUCGUGGUGCAGCCCGGAGUAUGUGGAGACUCACGGGCUCCUUAGGGAGAGGAGGUAGGCGAACCCAAGCGGAAUGCACCAUCAAGGGAGCGUGAACCUGCAGGGCUACAUCAACAACUAUAUAUGUGUUUUUCUCCCAAAAAGAUCUUCAUGUGCGAACCUCACCCCUAACUAUCUUGUUGUUGCUUGUUGUUUCAGGCGAAGGCUCAUCCGGAUAAAGAACGCCUCACCAGUUUCACGGCCGUUGACUGCACCCUCAAGGGAAAGGAGAGCACCGUGUCGGAAUACAGUGCGAAAGCCCCGCCCGAAGCCUACGCCACCCCGGCUGACCAUGCCAAGGUCACAGGCUACGCGGAGGUGUUUGAGGAGGUGCACGGCCUUGCCCGGGGCUGAUCCUAGCCAGCACAACCUGGAUGUGGAAGUGGUCGUGAGGGUGGGAGGAGGCAUGAAGCACAGUAGGCUGGUCUUCGGGAAUGGAACCAUUGAUCCGAGCACCAUUCCCAGCCUACCUAAACUGAAAGCUACUUCCACGAGCUCGAGUGCUAGUAUACGCAGUCGUCCAGGUGCACGGCAGUUCUCACAGCAGGUUAGUUGUUCUUCAUUCACCAUCUCGUGUCUUUUCGCAUUUCAUUGUAACGACAAUGAACUUGUAAUGGCAUUGCAGGAGGUGGAGGGUAUGGUGGCUGCUCAGGUGCAGGCUCAGGAUGCUCAGAUCCAGGCUCAGAUCCAGGCUCAGGUGGCGGCUCAGGUCCAGGCUCAGAUGGCUCAGAUGCAGGCUCAGAUGCAGGCCGCACUGAGGGCUCAGUACGACCACCUUAGGGUAUGUUUACCGCACAUAAUAGCCAGGAAAGCAUGGUAUUAGUUCCGUAACUGCAACUCUCUGUAUUUUCAAUAUGCAGCCGUACCUCACCGCCACCUCUCAAGAGCCGCCUACAGCACCACCGCCGUUCGACUUGGCGUUUGUCAAUCUCCAGAUUGAGCAUGCUCCACAACCUUCUCCACAGACUCCGGUGAGUUCACUUGAAACAUUUCAAUCUCCAUUCAUGACUUUCUUGAAACAUUUCAAUCUCCAUUCAUGACUUUCUUGCUUUCCUAAUCAUCUGUGCAACAGCAUCAAUCCGGGCGUGACUCGAACGACCCUUCUUCACACACAAGCCUUGCUGGAGGCAACCCUCUUGGCCAGUCACCUGCUCCUAGGCACUGACUCGGGUAAGUUGCCACAAACUUGUCUCAUCUCGAGAUCCGUUGUUUUGAAAACUUACUUUCUUAUCUCCACUGGUAGAACUGCGUAACCUAGCAUCACAGAGUGACAUAGAUCCCAUUUAGAGCCAAGAGGGCUCACUUGGCUCCAAAAUGGUGCAUUGGUGGCAUUUUUGGGCAUUUGGCUCAUUUAUGCCACCAGGGCACCAUUUUGGAGCCAAAUGAGCCAUCUUGGCUCCAAAAUGGUCUCUUGGUGGCAUUUUUUGGCAUUUGGCUCUUUUAUGCCACCAGGACACCAUUUUGAAACCAAAAGAGCCAUAUUAGCUCCAACAUGGUGCCUUGGUGCCAUUUUUGGGCCACUUGGCUCCAAAAUGCCACCAAGGCAUCAUUUUGGAGCCAAAUGAGCCAUGUUGGCUCCAAAAUGGAGCCAUGGUGGCAUAAGGAAGCGAAAUGGCUCGUUUUGUAGCCAAACUGGUGCCUUCGUGUCAUUUUUGUGCCAUUUGACACAUUUAUGUGACCAAUGCACCAUCUUGGAGUCAAAUAAGCCAUAUUCACUUCAAAAUGGUGCCAUCAUGCCAUUUUAGAGCAUUUAGGGGUCAUUUGGCUCCAAAAUUGUGACUUGGUGGCAUUAUUAGAGCCAAAUGAGCCAUAUUUGCUCAAAAAUGAUCCCAUUGCACCAUUUUUGAGCCAAAUGGCUAAGUUCCGCUUCAAAUAUUACAAUUGUCACUUCAACCUUUCUUUAUAUCUAAUUAUGUUAUUACAACUCCAUUUCAUAGGUUUCUACUGGUGCAAUGGGUAGUGGAUGUUGAAGGUGCCCGAUUCACCAUUUUGUCGUGUAUGAACACUAGCUUGUAAUAUGUUGCUACCAUGUGAUGAACACUUCUAAUACUUUUGUUGUGAGAUAUGUGAUGUUUUCGGACUUUCAUGAGAUGUUUAUAUGGCUGUGAUGUGAAUGCGUUAUGUGGAUGUGUCGAUGAUUUUGUGUGGAUGUAUUACUGUGAUGUGGAUGAAUAUAUAUCUGUAUAUAUGUGCUGUGAAAAUAUUUCAAAUUGCUGCGAUAAAAAAACAAAAAAAAAUACCCUUUGCCGGCGGCCAAAGGCCUGGCCACCGGCAAAGGCUGAGCACAGGCACGCACCAGAUCAUGCCACGUGCCCGCCCUUUGCCGGCGGCUUUUUCGCUGGCCACCAACAAAGGCCCGACAUGUGGGCCACGUAGUGGCACGCGCGGCCGGCCCGCGGCGUGCCACGUGCCCACCCUUUGCCGGCGGCUUUUUCCCUGGCCGCCGGCAAAGUCCCGACAUGUGGGCCGAGCCGUUAACGGCACCGCAUGUCGUGAUCUCCUUUUCUUUGCUGGAGGCCGUCGUUUCAGCCGCCAGCAAAGGAUUCGCCGACGGACCCGUGAGAAAGCCGCCGGCAAAGAGUUAUUUGCCGGUGAAUCUCCGUGCCGACAGCUUUUUUUCGGGGCCGCCGGCAAAGGCUUUGCCGGAGGCAAAGGUGCCUUUGCCCGCGGCCCUUGACCCCCGGUAAAGCUGCUUUCUCCCAUGGUGCGGGCGGGAUACGGAGCGAUAUACUGAGCAGUACAGAAGCUGUAUCUCCUGAUCUUUACCCGUCGAUUUAAAAUCUCUUUUAACUAACCUACUUGCACAUCAAGAAAUAUCUACAACAGAUACCGAACUCUUUUAACAGCUACCUAACCUCGUUAAUUGUGUUCCUCUGCUUGUCACCGGGCAGGGCCGUGGGCCGUCUCCGAGUCCAAUCGGGAGUCGGGACCCAACGCGGUAGGGUGUCCCUCCCUACAUAUCACGCUCGGGCUCCUCCCCUCCAAACCUCCUAUCCCAUCUCGAUCGAUCGCGGUCUUGCCAAGAAAUAACAACAAUGCUGGCGGAACCGCAGUUGCACGAGUCGCCUUCCGAGACCCGCGUGGUCUUCAGGAUGACGCUGUGCGAGACCAGCGAGGACCCGCUAGCGCCGUGGCCACCCGAUUACCUCGCGGUGUUCAUCCGGUACACCGCGACCUUCCGCUGCGAGGCCCGCUUCACAGGAGGAAACAUCCAGCGAGCCGCCGUUACCCACGACCACGAGGAUGCCCUCGUGUACCUGUUCGAUGCCGAGGACCUCCGGAGCGAGGCCGCCGUCCGCAAGGAACUGAGGAAGCUUCUGGAACUCGCGGAGCGCUAUGGCUACCGCACCGCCGACGAUGGCGGCGAGGACGCCUUCGUGCCCCCCGGCCUCGUUGACAGAAUCCUCGCUGGCGCCGCCGCUGUUCCUGCAUUCGCCGACAACGACGACGACCCUGAUCUCUGGACCGUCAGGCACAUCUGCGACGUCUCCAUCGAAGUGGACGUGACGAACGUGUACGACGAGACGAAGGCUCUGAUACUGUUGUGCAGCGCCGUGUCAGGACCAGGGCGCCGUGAUGUCGGCAGCCAGCAGUGCGCGGCCUGCACGGAGGAGCUGGCGGCGGACGAUGCCACGAGUUUUCCUAAAUGCUCGCACGCGUUCCACGGAGGGUGUAUCCUCGACUCGCUCCGCAGGGCGCCCACCUGCCCGGCCUGCCGCCAUGACUUAAUGCAGUAUCUGCCUCACCAAUGUGGUGUAUGCCGGGCGUAUACUGAUACACAACUUUUGCAUACACGUAUCUGUACCUUGUGCGAUUAAACACAAUUAUUCCUAGUAGUACAUUUGUUGUAAGCAUAACUUUUUUUUUGUUUUCGUUAUACAUAUAGUUAUGCUUGAUAUGGAUUAAGGAGUUCGGUAGGUUUUGCUUAGUCCUGAUUUAAUUAAGCUGUUUCAUAAGUACAAAUAAAUUGCACUGCCAAGUGAGUACCAGUACAUACUGUCUCCGUUUUGAUAUAGCAUGCACUGUCCCUAGAUCGCUAAUUCGACCAAUAUAACGAUAAAUUGUAUAUCGUAAACGUCAUACCACUAGAAAACAGAACAUUGAAGUUUCUAAUGAUAUAGUUUUUGUGAUAUAAAACUAUUUCUAAUUGUGCAUAUGCCAAAACUAGAUCACAGGUCCCCAAUUUCUGUCAAUAUAUUGUCAGUUACAAUGAUAAUUUAGUUUCACACAACUCAAGAUAACCUAUGGAGGAGUGACAACUCAGAAACAUGAUUGUUGGUAUCCCUUCCUUUGUUUGAAAAAGGAUCUCGGUACCCAUUUGAUUUAACUUAAACCGACCGUUUAUCUAAGUUGUAUAUAUAGUGGAUAGUAUUCAAAGCAAACUGGCCUUUCAUCUGAUCCAUUUAUUUUGAGUCAAUUUCAAACUUUUUUUUUGACGAAACAACCAUCAACGGGUUAUUUAUUGCCAAAGAACCGUUCGACCGCGGAAGAAAUGGCCCGUUUAUAAGGAAAAACACAAAAAAAAAACACUAGAGCUUGGAGGUAGGGUUAGAGGUCUAGAAAACUAGAAAAACAACCUAAGAAACAUCAUCUGAUUCGGAAACGAGAGCACCCAAACCCAAGGUCACUACAUGGUGCAUCUCAAUUACAACCUGCACACUCACUCCACCCUUGAAAAUCUCCUUGUGCCGACGACUCUCCAUCCGAAUAGCGCUAAUCCCUAGCGACGAUAAAGGCCCACAACCAAAGAGACUCCUAAAACAAUUGUAAAAGGUCACAUGCUUAUACAUUUACCGUCUGCGUAUCCGACAAUAGAUCAUCACAAGUGAGCCCUGAAGCCGCGAGGUCCACUUGUGCCUUUCCGCUGACGCCAGCCAAGACGUGAAUCGCCUCGAUCGCCUCGGGCAUGAGCGGCUUCUUGUACAUCUCCAAGUAUGCCUUCAUCCUCUUCUCUGCGCUCUCCUCGGAGUCAUUCUCCUUUUCCUUUCCAAUGGGCAUUUCUCCAAAUGCCUCCUCUAGCCUAAUCUCAGCCCGCUUGGCCACCGGAAUAGUGCAGCCUUUGUUUUUCUUGACCAGCUGGCCGCUGCGCCGCACUGUACGAUCAUCCGCCUUGAAUUGCUAAGGCAUGGGGGUCCCGAGCACAGAGCAUUGGGAUGUGCGAGUAAACUUUUUGAUGAACUCUGCCACGGUGGUAGGCGAUGCAUCAUCUUGUGUCUCACCAACACCCACCGGUUUCUCAUCAGGAGCACCAAAAGCCUUCAUCAUGCGUACCACAUUGAAACCACCAUUCUUCUUGGCCUUAUGGGAGGAGGUUGGGUACUCCACCUGAGGUGGCAUCUCAUCAAGCGGGCACGACAUCUCCAUGGGAGGGGCGAGCUCAGUGCAUGACAGCGUAGUAGACGGAGAACACUGAACAUCAGAAUCCAGGGAGCACGGAUGCAAAUCCAGCACCAACUCAACAGGAUGCGCCACUGGCAUAACAGUCUCAUCAAUCGCAGCAGGAGCCCGGAAAUGAGGAGAGCAAGGGCAAAAAGACAAUCUGCCCCCUCGUCAGUGAAGUCGACAGCAAGCUCUUUCGGCGGGUCGAAUAGAGUUGGAGAAGCCUGCGAAGCAGCUGCGCUAGGGGCAACCUCCACCUGCACAACAGGCACAGGGGCAACUUCCACCAGCUUACCAAGAGUGACCUCGGAACGCUCCAGGAGAGUUUCCAAUUGCAAGACCAAACUCUGUAUGGAGGCGGCGAUAUCACGCAGGGGCUAGACAAUCUCCUCCAGGCAAACAGUCGUCGUCUUUUGCAGCUCGACACGCAGCAGUUCAGCCUGCACAGGGAUAAGGGACUUCAGAGCAACCUCAAUUGCCGCCGUGACACCAGCAGAAGCCGCAGGCUCGACCAGCACCUCAGGAGUAAGCUGCUUCUCAGUAACAAGCUGCAUCGCAGGCAUGGCAGAAGGCGCAACAACAGAGGCCCAAGAGCCCCAAGAGCGAGGCAGCAUGCAGUCCGGCGGGGAAGGUCGACGAGCCUCCAGGUGAGCUGGAAGGUGCCGACGGCAGUCGCGCUGUUGAUGACCCGAACAAAGACAAGCAAGACAAUGAACCGGGUCACGACAGGCCAAGACGAAGUGGUUAGGAGCCAGGCACCGAAAGCCCCUGCCAUGCAACUUCUUCAAGAAGGCGAGCCUGUUGCCAGAAUCCUCCCUCGGAGCAGGAGGAGACGGCCUCACCUGCUGCGGG
rnacentral:lncRNA from 1 species